GCUCACAGUGUCAGGUGCAUGUGCGGGUGCAGAACAGCAGCACACAGAAACAUGCAGUGGACUCAUAUUAUCGUAGCUCUGCUGAACAUCAUGUGGAUUGCUUUCUUUUUAUCUCCACAUCUUGUCCCAGUGUUUGUGCAGAGAAGAAGCACCAGCAUCUCUGAUGAGGCAAUCCUGUUGAGAGUGUUUUGUAUUCAGCCUCCACCUGACAUAAACUGGACAUCAAGUGUACCAGCAGUCUACAUACCUGAUAAUAAAACCAACUCCACCAACACAACCUUAAAAAGAGACCUGGAUGAGACAACAGUAAAUACUUCUCCUGUAGUGGAGCUGAAGGUCCCAGGAGUCACCACACCCUCAGAGACAGUUUCUCACAGCAGCUCUACAGCUCAUCGUGUUAGAGUGAAA